rnacentral:rRNA from 1 species
GACAGAGGGUGCAAACGUUGUUCGGAAUCACUGGGCGUAAAGCGCGUGUAGGCGGCUAUGUAAGUCGGACGUGAAAUCCCACGGCUCAACCGUGGAAGUGCGCUCGAAACUGUGUAGCUUGAGUCCUGGAGAGGAAGACGGAAUACUUGGUGUAGAGGUGAAAUUCGUAGAUAUCUAGCGGAACACCGGUGGCGAAGGCGGCCUUCUGGACAGUGACUGACGCUGAAACGCGAAAGCGUGGGGAGCAAACAGGAUUAGAUACCCCAGUAGU